GCCCCUAUGGCUCAGUGGUAGAGCAUCAGUCUUGUAAACUGAGGGUCCGGAGUUCGAUCCUCCGUGGGGGCU